UGAGGAGUCCCAUAAUAGGACGAAACGGCCGUCCAGUGC
rfam:Schistosoma rodhaini strain Burundi genome assembly, scaffold: SROB_scaffold0008848